GUGCGAGAAGGUCAUGGGGGGUUCACAGGCCUGGAGGAGGACGCUAUAUAUUAUGGAACCUGCGGCUGAGAGUCAGUAGCUGUCUGUGAGCCUCCUGAAACAACAAUGCAGUGGCGCGCCCUUCUAGUGUUGGUCCUGGUGGCCGUCUUGGCCGUCUACGUCAAUGCCGCACCUGCGGCUGAAGCUGAGGCUGAGCCGUGUUGCGGCGGUCGUAGACGAGGUGGUGGCGGCUUUGGUGGAGGUGGCGGCUUCGGCGGCGGACUUGGAGGUGGUGGAUUUGGAGGCGGUUUUGGAGGAGGAGGAGGUUACGGCAAGUAAGGAGGAAUUACCUGCUGGAGGGAGGACCCACCUGCUGGAGGGAGGACCCACCUGCUGGAGGGAGGACCCACCUGCUGGAGGGAGGACCCACCUGCUGGAGAGAGGACCUGCCUGCAUGAAACUUCUCGGUUAUGACGACGUUCUCGACCUCUUUAACGCCUUUCUAAAAAAAAAAAAAAAAAUCUCAUUUUGACUCUCAAAAAUCCCAAACUUGUAUCUUCACUUUGAUCUGUUGUUGUGACUAAAUUAGGAACUUGUAUAAAUCUUUGUCUUCAAUAAAUGAACACGUAUUA